rnacentral:misc_RNA from 1 species
GAUGAAGAACGCAGCGAAAUGCGAUAAGUAAUGUGAAUUGCAGAAUUCAGUGAAUCAUCGAAUCUUUGAACGCACCUUGCGCCCUUUAGCCAUUCCGAAGGGCAUGCCUGUUUGAGUAUCAUGAACACCUCAACUCUUCAUGGUUUUCCGUGAUGAGCUUGGACUUUGGGGGUCUUGCUGGCCUAUGGUCAGCUCCUCUAAAAUAAAUCAGCUUGCCAGUGUUUGGUGGGUAUCACAGGUGUGAUAACUAUCUACGCUUGUGGUUUUCCACCAGGUAACCUUCAGCAGUGGAGGUUCGCUGGAGCUCACAGAUGUGUCUCUCCUCAGUGAGGACAGCUCUUUGAAUGUUUGAUCUCAAAUCAGGUAGGACUACCCGCUGAACUUAAGCAUAUCAAUAAGCGGAGGA